CCGUGGUGCCUGCUCGCUGCGCGGGGCUGAGGGUCUGUCUAGGGGCCUGAGAAGGGGCUCCCGGAGUGGCGAAUGGGGGCUCUCUUUGGGUGCUGAAGAGUAGCGAUGUCAGGAGUCAAGGCUGCAGGAGCCUCAGCCAGAAAAGAAGCGGAAAUCCACUGUGCCUGGUACCCAGGGAGCACUGCCGGUCACUUCUCCAUCUGUUUCACGCUGAGUGAGGCCCUGGGAAGCUGAGGACAGGACAUUAGGUUUGCAUGCAUCAGUCCGGUGUACGUGUGAGAUGAGGCUGUGAGAUCUUGCUUCACUCUGGUGUUCUUAUAAGAAGAGGUGAGGAGAAGGCAGUCCAUCUGCAAGCCGAGGACAGAGGCCCUCAGGAGAAACUGACUCUACAGACACCUUGAUCUUCAACUUCCAGACUCCAGAAGAGUGAGAAAAUAAAUUUCUGUUGUUUAAACCA